GAUGAACGCUAGCUAUAGGCUUAACACAUGCAAGUCGUGGGGCAGCGGAUGCUUAGCUUGCUAAGUAUGCCGGCGACCGGCGCACGGGUGAGUAACGCGUACCGAACCUGCCCAUCACACAGGGAUAGGCUUGCGAAAGCAAGAUUAAUACCUGAUGGUCUCAGUUGUAUGCAUGUAUGAUUGAGUAAAGCCUUCGGGCGGUGAUGGAUGGCGGUGCGUCCCAUUAGGAAGUUGGCGGGGUAACGGCCCACCAAUCCUUCGAUGGGUAGGGGUUCUGAGAGGAAGGUCCCCCACAUUGGAACUGAGAUACGGUCCAAACUCCUACGGGAGGCAGCAGUGAGGAAUAUUGGUCAAUGGGCGAGAGCCUGAACCAGCCAAGUAGCGUGCGGGAUGAAGGCCCUUGUGGUCGUAAACCGCUUUUAUCAGUGAAUAAAGUGCACCACGUGUGGUGUCAUUGCAGGUAGCUGAAGAAAAAGGACCGGCUAAUUCCGUGCCAGCAGCCGCGGUAAUACGGAAGGUCCGGGCGUUAUCCGGAAUUAUUGGGUUUAAAGGGAGCGCAGGCGGGAGUGUAAGUCAGCUGUUAAAUAUCAGGGCCCAACUCUGUUAUGCAGUUGAAACUAUAUUUCUUGAGUACGCACAGGGAUGGCGGAAUUCAGGGUGUAGCGGUGAAAUGCUUAGAUAUCCUGAAGAACUCCGAUCGCGAAGGCAGCCAUCCGGAGCGUAACUGACGCUGAGGCUCGAAGGUGCGGGUAUCGAACAGG
rnacentral:rRNA from 1 species